GACGAACGCUGGCGGCGUGCCUAAUACAUGCAAGUAGAACGCUGAAGAGAGGAGCUUGCUCUUCUUGGAUGAGUUGCGAACGGGUGAGUAACGCGUAGGUAACCUGCCUUGUAGCGGGGGAUAACUAUUGGAAACGAUAGCUAAUACCGCAUAACAAUGGAUGACACAUGUCAUUUAUUUGAAAGGGGCAAUUGCUCCACUACAAGAUGGACCUGCGUUGUAUUAGCUAGUAGGUGAGGUAACGGCUCACCUAGGCGACGAUACAUAGCCGACCUGAGAGGGGGAUCGGCCACACUGGGACGGGGACACGGCCCAGCAUCCUACGGGAGGCAGCAGGAGGGAAUCUUCGGCAAUGGGGGCAACCCUGACCGAGCAACGCCGCGUGAGUGAAGAAGGUUUUCGGAUCGUAAAGCUCUGUUGUAAGUCAAGAACGAGUGUGAGAGUGGAAAGUUCACACUGUGACGGUAGCUGAACAGAAAGGGACGGCUAACUACGUG
rnacentral:rRNA from 1 species